rnacentral:rRNA from 1 species
GACGAACGCUGGCGGCGCGCUUAACACAUGCAAGUCGAACGGAAAGGCCUGCUUUCCCUUGUGGAUUGCGGGUACUCGAGUGGCGAACGGGUGAGUAACACGUGAGUGAUCUGCCCCCAACUUGGGUAUAAGCCUGGGAAACUGGGUCUAAUUCCCGAUAGGACUGCAGGGUGGUGCCUGUGGUGGAAAACGAUUUUCUAGUGGUUGGGGAUGAGCUCGCGGCCUAUCAGCUUGUUGGUGGGGUAAUGGCCUACCAAGGCGGCGACGGGUAGCCGGCCUGAGAGCGUGGACGGCCACAUUGGGACUGGGAUACGGCCCAGACUCGUAGGGGAGGCAGCAGUGGGGAAUAUUGCAGAAUGGGCGGAAGCCUGAUGCAGCGAGGCCGCGUGGGGGAUGACGGCAUUCGGGUUGUAAACUCCUUUCGACCGCGAGGAAGCCACCUGGUUGGAAGGGUGGUGACGGUAGUGGUAGAAGAAGCACCGGCUAACUACGUG